GGAGUUGUGGCUCAGUGGUAGAGCGCUCGCCUAGCACACGCAAGGUCCUGAGUUCGAUCCUCAGCACCA
rnacentral:tRNA from 1 species